CCUAUGGAUUGUAAACUGCUUUUGUACGGGAAGAAACCCUCCUACGUGUAGGAGCUUGACGGUACCGUAAGAAUAAGGAUCGGCUAACUCCGUGCCAGCAGCCGCGGUAAUACGGAGGAUCCAAGCGUUAUCCGGAAUCAUUGGGUUUAAAGGGUCUGUAGGCGGUCUUGUAAGUCAGUGGUGAAAGCCCAUCGCUCAACGGUGGAACGGCCAUUGAUACUGCUGGACUUGAAUUAUUGGGAAGCAACUANAAUAUGUAGUGUAGCGGUGAAAUGCUUANAGAUUACAUGGAAUACCAAUUGCGAAGGCAGGUUGCUACCAAUGGAUUGACGCUGAUGGACGAAAGCGUGGGUAGCGAACAGGAUUANAUACCCUGGUAGUCCACGCCGUAAACGAUGGAUACUAGCUGUUGGGCGCAAGUUCAGUGGCUAAGCGAAAGUGAUAAGUAUCCCACCUGGGGAGUACGAACGCAAGUUUGAAAC
rnacentral:rRNA from 1 species